rnacentral:rRNA from 1 species
CAAAGCCUCACACACGUCUCCCUCGGACUUAACCAUUUAUCAGGUACCAUCCCUACAGCUCUCUUCAACCUUUCAUCUCUAGUUGGAUUUAGUGUGGCAGCCAAUGAGUUGGAUGGUAAACUGCCCUCUGACUUGGGGGAUCACAUCCCGCACCUCAUGGGCCUGUUCCUCGGGUUGAACAGCUUUACAGGAAGCCUUCCAGCUUCUCUUGUCAAUGCAACUCAGAUAAGGUUUCUCGACAUCUCCUUCAACAACAUCACCGGAACAGUUCCUCCUGAGAUUGGAAUGCUCUGCCCAGAAGUCCUCAAUUUUAAGAGUAAUCAGCUAAUGGCAACCACUGCUCAGGACUGGGAGUUUAUGACAUUCCUCACAAACUGCACACGCCUCAGGUUCCUUAGCAUCCAGGCCAACAUGCUAGGUGGCAUGCUGCCAAGCUCAGUUGGCAACCUAUCAGCACAUCUCCAACAAUUUAUUUUUGGAUUUAAUAAAAUUUCUGGCAAAUUACCAUUUGGAAUAAGCAAUCUUGUCGGACUAAAUGUGUUGGACUUCCCUCACAACCAACUUACUGGUGUCUUGCCUGACAGCAUCGGAAGGCUAAAUUUGCUUCAGCAAUUGUAUUUCAAUAAUAAUCAAUUUUCAGGGUCCAUGCCAUCCUCCCUCGGGAACUUGACACGGCUACUAGUUCUUUCAGCCGGUAGCAAUAAGUUUAAGGGGGCCCUUCCAACAGGCCUAGGGAACCUCCAGGAGAUAACUGAAGCAGACUUUUCAAACAAUAAGUUUUCAGGUACAUUGCCAAAAGAGAUAUUUAACCUAUCAACCCUAUCAAAUACACUGGAUUUGUCAAACAACUUUUUGGUUGGUUCUCUUCCACCUGAAGUUGGCAGUCUGACAAAGCUUACAUACAUGUAUGUAUCCAUGAACAACUUAUCAGGACCACUACCUGAUACACUUAGCUAUUGCCAAAGCUUGAUAGAGCUCAAGUUGGACCAAAACUACUUCAAUAGUACCAUUCCCUCGUCUAUCAGCAAAAUGCAGGGCUUGACAUUUCUAAAUCUUUCCAAGAAUGCACUCUCUGGUGUGGUUCCUCAAGAGUUAGGACUCAUGGACGGUAUUCAAGAAUUGUAUCUUGCACACAACUACUUGUCUGGUCAUAUCCCUGAGAGCUUGCAAAACAUGGCAUCAUUGUAUCGGUUAGACUUGUCCUUCAAUAAUCUGGAUGGCAAAGUUCCAUCGCAGGGUGUGUUCAGUAAUGUGACUGGAUUUUUGUUUGAAGGGAAUUCGAGGCUUUGUGGUUGUAACUCAGAAUUACGGUUGCCCCCAUGCCCGCCGCUGGAAUCAAUGGAACACAAGAAGAAACGCCAUUUCAUUAUCGCAAUAGCUAUCCCAAUUGUUGGCGCAAUUCUAUGCUUGAGUGUGAUGCUUGUGUUCUUCACAAGGAGAAAGGAAACAAAAGCUCAAUCCACAUCCACAAGUGGAUUCCAAUUGAUGGGUGACAAUUAUCCAAGAGUUACUUAUGUUGAACUGGCCCAGGGAACAGGUGGCUUUGCCACAGCCAAUUUGAUUGGUAGAGGAAUGCAUGGAUCAGUGUAUAAGUGUCAUUUAUUGCUGAACAACAUGAUGACCACCGUAGCGGUGAAGGUUUUUGAUCUCCAACAGACUGGUUGUUCCAAAAGCUUUUUAGCUGAGUGUGAGGCACUUAGUAAGGUUCGCCAUCGUAAUUUGAUCAGUGUCAUAACUUGCUGCUCAAGCUCUGACUCAAGCCAAAACGACUUCAAAGCUCUUGUGUUCGAGUUCAUGCCCAAUGGGAACCUGGACAGCUGGUUACAUCCGGAUGUACAUGAUGCAUCACGGCAACUGCAAGGAUUGACAUUGAUGCAGAGAUUAAAUAUUGCAGUCGAUAUUGCGGAUGCACUAGAUUAUUUACACAACAACUGGGAACCGCCAAUAGUUCACUGUGACCUGAAGCCAAGCAACAUUCUUCUCAAUGAGGAUUUAGUUGCUCAUGUUGGAAACUUUGGCCUUGCAAAGAUUCUUUCCGAACCAGCAGCCGAGCAACUGAUUAACUCAAAGAGCUCGAAUGGAAUAAGAGGAACAAUUGGCUACGUCGCUCCAGAAUAUGGUGAAGGCGGUCAAGUUUCUUCACGUGGGGACGUAUACAGCUUUGGGUGUGCCAUCCUCGAGUUGUUUAUAGGCAAGGCACCUACUCAUGACAUGUUCAGGGACGGGUUGACCUUGCAAAAACAUGCCAAGGAUGCAUUUCCAGGGAUGCUGAUGCAGAUCGUCGAUCCAGUCCUACUGUCCAUUGAAGAAGCUAGUGCCAGUAGUUUGCUGGAUGGAAGCAACACAAUGGAACAUACCAGCAAUGCCAUGUUCUCUGUCAUAGAGGUUGCCCUGUCAUGCAGCAAGCAUGCACCCACCAAGAGAAUGUGCAUAGGAGAUGCAGCUGCUGCGAUUCACAGGAUAAGGGAUAGCUAUGUUAGAAUAACACAAAAGGAGUAA